GAUAGGCCAGCUCACCACAAGAUUCUAACUCGUGCAACAUCGCUUCAAUCUCUCGUUCCUCAUUGUCAGUCAACACAUUGUAUGCUCCGAUUAGGGAUCUUUCCAAAGGAUUAGAAAUAUGGAUUUGAUUCACGACCUCCACUACUUCCUCUUCGCUUGCAUCAAUUCGAAAAGAAUCAUGCUUGUCAGUUGGAUGUUUCAUUGCUUCGAAAAGGUUAAAGGUCACCUCUU
rnacentral:lncRNA from 1 species